AGUGAACGCUGGCGGUAGGCCUAACACAUGCAAGUCGAACGGCAGCACAGAGGAGCUUGCUCCUUGGGUGGCGAGUGGCGGACGGGUGAGGAAUACAUCGGAAUCUACUCUGUCGUGGGGGAUAACGUAGGGAAACUUACGCUAGUACCGCAUACGACCUACGGGUGAAAGCAGGGGAUCUUCGGACCUUGCGCGAUUGAAUGAGCCGAUGUCGGAUUAGCUAGUUGGCGGGGCAAAGGCCCACCAAGGCGACGAUCCGUAGCUGGUCUGAGAGGAUGAUCAGCCACACUGGAACUGAGACACGGUCCAGACUCCUACGGGAGGCAGCAGUGGGGAAUAUUGGACAAUGGGCGCAAGCCUGAUCCAGCCAUACCGCGUGGGUGAAGAAGGCCUUCGGGUUGUAAAGCCCUUUUGUUGGGAAAGAAAUCCAUCUGGUUAAUACCCGGGUGGGAUGACGGUACCCAAAGAAUAAGCACCGGCUAACUUCGUGCCAGCCGCCGCCGUAG
rnacentral:rRNA from 1 species